UCGGCGCAGCAGAACGGAUUUGCUACAAUCACGUAAUGAGAAGCGCGCGCGAUAAUUGGACCUUGGAGGGACUAACGAAGGGCGUUCGCUCCUCUUGUCGACUCGCGCGCAAUAAUCGAGUGGAUGAGCAGAUAAAGAGCCGAAGAAAGCAGCAAUGAAGGGUGCGCGAGUCAUGAACACGCCAGGCAGCAUGUCUCGCACUCCAACAUCUUCAUCCAGAUUCAUUUGAAUAAUCAGAACGCCUUACUUGCUUAUAAUAACACAGCCUUCAAUUCAGCGUGCAAGAAAUCAGAUUUUGCUCCAGCAGGUGUGCCUCGUCAAACCCUUUUCAGCACGACCGUGAAACGCCGCAAACAGGAGUCGCAGCAUCGAGAGAUCUCGGCUGCUCUGCUGUCAGUGUCAGAAUUUAAAUGAAUCAAGUUGUCAAUGGCCAAGGAACACCGUUCGCGGUUAAUAAGAAGAACACACAUCGCGUCCGCCGCCACACCCAGCCAGGAAAAUAAGAAAGAUGUGUUCGAACGAGAUUUGGCCUUUUUAGUUUAAAAAUUAAAGAAAAAGAGAGGCCGCGCCGCACUUGUUUUCCUCGAGUGCCUAAUGAAUUUUAAAUUAGAGAGAAAGAAAUAACGACGAGACUCUAAAGCUUUCUGUGGGAGUGCUCGCCGGUGAUUAAAUUCUCAUCAGCCCAAAAACAGCACCCUCGGCAGCAAAAGUGUUUUGUCGCACAGAAACCUAUUUUUCGUUCCAAAAAUUGUUACUUUCUGAAAAAACCAAAUACCUAAAACUGGUAAAACUGGAUUGCAGAAUCGAGGCUUACUAAAGUCGGAGCGUUAGAACGAUGUGAUAAUAAUUGGCCUGGAAACUAGAGGAGUGCAAACAAAUCAUAAAACCGUGGCGAUUCCGGGAAAUGCGUCGGCCCGUCUAAUAAAGAUGAAAAGCGGAUUUGCCGCCGUCGUAAAUCUUGGCCAGAGAUUUUCGCUCGUCACAUCGCAGCAGGGGAAGGAAGACGGCGUGCCAGUGCUAAUGGCCGGCUUUGCUGGCGGAUUAACGAGUGCAAAACAGCUGCGAGAUAAAGUGCAGCCAGAUUUGCAUCACGCUAGUGUGUCAGCUUUAAUCCUCUGGUUUAAUAACCAGCGCCACCAAUUAAACCCAUAAAUAUCUAUGCUUUAUGAGAUGCAUACCUGUCACGAGUAAUUAAAACGCGCUUAUUAAAACUUCAAUCACCGUCAGCCAUGAUUGAUAAUAAUGCCUUGCUGACACAAUGAUGAAUGAUGAAAAGCAUUCUCUCGUCGCUCUGUUAGAGCUUCGAAUUGGCCUUUUAUCAUCAAAUCUGCAAGAAUCGUGAAGUUUCAAAAUAAUUGAAACUCACUAAAAAUUGUUAAAUCAGCUAAAAAAAACAGACCAUAAUUUUUUAGAGAGGAAUAAUUGAAAAAAUAAAUUACGGAAAAAAAUUAUUUUAGAUAUUGAUCGCGAUUGCCCCUUCACCA